rnacentral:rRNA from 1 species
GCUCCCCACGCUUUCGCCCCUCAGCGUCAGUUUUGGACCAGAGAGCCGCUUUCGCCACUGGUGUUCCUCCCGAUCUCUACGCAUUCCACCACUACACCGGGAAUUCCGCUCUCCUCUUCCAGACUCUAGCUUGACAGUUUUGAACGGCCUCUCCCAGUUAAGCCAGGAGCUUUCACGUCCAACUUGUCAGGCCGCCUACGGGCGCUUUACGCCCAAUAAUUCCGAACAACGCUUGCACCCUCUGUAUUACCGCGGCUGCUGGCACAGAGUUAGCCGGUGCUUCUUCUCCCGGUACCGUCAGGCCCCCGGUUAUUAGCCGAAGGAGUUUCGUCCCGGUCGAAAGUGCUUUACAAUCCGAAGACCUUCAUCACACACGCGGCGUUGCUGCGUCAGGCUUUCGCCCAUUGCGCAAAAUUCCCCACUGCUGCCUCCCGUAGGAGUCUGGACCGUGUCUCAGUUCCAGUGUGGCUGAUCGUCCUCUCAGACCAGCUACCCGUCGUUGCCUUGGUGGGCCAUUACCCCGCCAACUAGCUGAUGGGCCGCGGGCUCAUCUGGUAGUGAUAGCUUGCAUGCAGAGGCCAUCUUUUCCCUCAAGGACCGAAGUCCCCGGGGGCUUAUCUGGUAUUAGCUAACCUUUCGGCUAGUUAUCCCAAACUUCCAGGCAGAUUACCCACGUGUUACGCACCCGUGCGCCGCUCUACUAAGGGUUGCCCCUAUUCGCGCUCGACUUGCAUGUGUUAGGCACGCCGCCAGCGUUCGUUCUGAGCCAGGAUCAAACUC